GUGUUUUGUUGAGGGGAUGCUCCAGUCUGCAUCAGUACCAGGCAGCUCUUGGAGCCUUCAUCCAGCACAAAGCAAUAAAACCUCCUGGCUGCUGUGUUUGACUGGGAAUUUCUUCAGUGUAAAGGCUUAGGAGGAAGUUCUGGGACACCAUGAGCUGAGGCAUCUGAGGAAUGGGGACAGAAGGGACCCAAAUAAGUGCCUGUGCACCAAGCAGAGCAGUCAGGCAUUUCCUUGCUGUGUGUUCCAGCUGGUGGUGUUGUCUUCUUCUCACAGCUAUUUAAAUCAUGGAAGGAAGAAGCUCCAUGGAAUGAGGCACAAUGAGGGUCUGCAGGUGAGUCCUGGAGGUGAUGGCUGCAGAGGUGUAGGGAGAUGUGGGGCAUUGNNNNNNNNNNNNNNNNNNNNAGCAAGGACUGGCAGAACAACAGCAACGUGGCCCCUGGCCUGGAGGCAGAGUCCCUUGGAGCCUGCCUGGAAAUUCCACUUGUGGACAUAAAGGAACUUCCUCGGACUCGCUCUGGUCUCCAGUCCUACCGAAACCACUUGGUCAUGGAGCUGCUGUGGUUGGAACAAGCUAUUGUCAGCCGUAAAAAUUUCUUGGCGUUGAAGCAGAAGCUGGGAACUCCUGGAGGAGAGCAGUCCUGAGCAUGAGGGGCACUUGUAUUGGUGUGGAGAAGCUGUGGAGCUGCAGCACUGGUGUUGUGAUGUGGCCUCGUGGACAGCAGCAGCUAUGGGGAACUCCAGCUUUCUGGGUUGACGUUUGCCACUUCAGGUGAAUGCUGCAAGAAAGCCUUUUGUUUCUUCUAAAUGUGAAUAAUUGGCCAAAGCAGGGGUUGGACAUCACUGUGAAGCCAGGAGGUGGUUGUGUGUGCUGGAGGGAGUCCCAGAGAUACCUCCUCCUACAAGAACCCUGUUUCUGUUGGCUGAGCUGGAUGGUCCUAGGGGCAAAACAAGGUUAGGAGGACUGUUGCUUGUGCACAGCUUGUUACUUGUUGCUUGUGCACAGCUCAUUGCUUGUGGUGGAACUAAAAUGCCUGAAGGCAGAAGGUGCCUCAAACCUGCAGGAACAAGCUCUUCUGUGCCAACCUGUGUGUGAUUCAUACCAGUGUCUGUGUAUUUGGGGUGGCUGCACAUCAGAUCUGACCUUCAGGACAUGAGGCUUGGAUCCCAGCUCACAUAUAGGUGGCCAUUGUAGCAUCUGUCUGUGUGGCAGAGUGACCUGGACUGGUGCUUGAGGGGGCAAGUAAGGACUUGUGGGGUUUGGAGCUUUGUUUAUAUGUUCCUCUAGUCCAGGAGCAUUCAGGGUCCCUCCGAAAGGGACUUUUCAUGUGGUGCUGUGGUUCUUUACCCCACGUGUACUGUGGAAAUGCUCUGCGUUCCUGCAGCCUGAGCAGUCACUCUUGCCAUGUGGUGGAUGAAUCCUGCUCCUGAAUGAAGCUGAUUUGUUGGUGAAUAAAAAGCUUUCCUGAUGCUCA
rnacentral:lncRNA from 14 species